AUUGAACGCUGGCAGCAGGCCUAACACAUGCAAGUCGAGCGGUAGAGAGAAGCUUGCUUCUCUUGAGAGCGGCGGACGGGUGAGUAAUGCCUAGGAAUCUGCCUGGUAGUGGGGGAUAACGUUCGGAACCGGACGCUAAUACCGCAUACGUCCUACGGGAGAAAGCAGGGGACCUUCGGGCCUUGCGCUAUCAGAUGAGCCUAGGUCGGAUUUGCUAGUUGGUGAGGUAAUGGCUCACCAAGGCGACGAUCCGUAACUGGUCUGAGAGGAUGAUCAGUCACACUGGAACUGAGACACAGUCCAGAGUCCUACGGGAGGCAGCAGUGGGGAAUAUUGGACAAUGGGCGAAAGCCUGAUCCAGCCAUGCCGGGUGUAUGAAGAAGGUCUUCGGAUUGUAAAGCACUUUAAGUUGGGAGGAAGGGCAGUUACCUAAUACGUAAUUGUUUUGACGUUACCGACAGAAUAAGCACCGGCUAACUCUGUGCCAGCCGCCGCCGUAA
rnacentral:rRNA from 1 species